UUCAGGUCCUGAGCUAAAGACAGUUAGAUCCUUGAUUCAGGUCCUGAGCUACAGACAGUUAGAUCCUAGAUUCAGGUCCUGAGCUACAGACAGUUAGAUCCUUGAUUCAGGUCCUGAGCUACAGACAGUUAGAUCCUAGAUUCAGGUCCUGAGCUACAAACAGUCAGAUCCUUGAUUCAGGUCCUGAGCUACAGACAGUCAGAUCCUAGAUUCAGGUCCUGAGCUACAGACAGUCAGAUCCUAGAUUCAGGUCCUGAGCUACAGACAGUUAGAUCCUAGAUUCAGGUCCUGAGCUACAGACAGUCAGAUCCUAGAUUCAGGUCCUGAGCUACAGACAGUCAGAUCCUAGAUUCAGGUCCUGAGCUACAGACAGUUAGAUCCUAGAUUCAGGUCCUGAGCUACAGACAGUCAGAUCCUUGAUUCAGGUCCUGAGCUACAGACAGUCAGAUCCUUGAUUCAGGUCCUGAGCUACAGACAGUUAGAUCCUAGAUUCAGGUCCUGAGCUACAGACAGUUAGAUCCUUGAUUCAGGUCCUGAGCUACAGACAGUCAGGUCCUGAGCUACAGACAGUUAGAUCCUUGAUUCGGGUCCUGAGCUACAGACAGUUAGAUCCUUGAUUCAUGUCCUGAGCUACAGACAGUUAGAUCCUAGAUUCAGGUCCUGAGCUACAGACAGUCAGGUCCUGAGCUACAGACAGUUAGAUCCUUGAUUCAUGUCCUGAGCUACAGACAGUUAGAUCCUUGAUUCAUGUCCUGAGCUACAGACAGUCAGAUCCUAGAUUCAGGUCCUGAGCUACAGACAGUUAGAUCCUAGAUUCAGGUCCUGAGCUACAGACAGUCAGAUCCUUGAUUCAGGUCCUGAGCUACAGACAGUCAGAUCCUUGAUUCAGGUCCUGAGCUACAGACAGUUAGAUCCUAGAUUCAGGUCCUGAGCUACAGACAGUUAGAUCCUUGAUUCAGGUCCUGAGCUACAGACAGUCAGGUCCUGAGCUACAGACAGUUAGAUCCUUGAUUCGGGUCCUGAGCUACAGACAGUUAGAUCCUUGAUUCAUGUCCUGAGCUACAGACAGUUAGAUCCUAGAUUCAGGUCCUGAGCUACAGACAGUCAGGUCCUGAGCUACAGACAGUUAGAUCCUUGAUUCAUGUCCUGAGCUACAGACAGUUAGAUCCUUGAUUCAUGUCCUGAGCUACAGACAGUCAGAUCCUAGAUUCAGGUCCUGAGCUACAGACAGUUAGAUCCUAGAUUCAGGUCCUGAGCUACAGACAGUUAGAUCCUAGAUUCAGGUCCUGAGCUACAGACAGUUAGAUCCUUGAUUCAUGUCCUGAGCUACAGACAGUUAGAUCCUAGAUUCAGGUCCUGAGCUACAGACAGUUAGAUCCUUGAUUCAGGUCCUGAGCUACAGACAGUCAGAUCCUUGAUUCAGGUCCUGAGCUACAGACAGUCAGGUCCUGAGCUACAGACAGUCAGAUCCUUGAUUCAGGUCCUGAGCUACAGACAGUUAGAUCCUUGAUUCAUGUCCUGAGCUACAGACAGUUAGAUCCUUGAUUCAGGUCCUGAGCUACAGACAGUCAGAUCCUUGAUUCAGGUCCUGAGCUACAGACAGUCAGAUCCUUGAUUCAGGUCCUGAGCUACAGACAGUUAGAUCCUAGAUUCAGGUCCUGAGCUACAGACAGUCAGAUCCUUGAUUCAGGUCCUGAGCUACAGACAGUCAGAUCCUUGAUUCAGGUCCUGAGCUACAGACAGUUAGAUCCUAGAUUCAGGUCCUGAGCUACAGACAGUUAGAUCCUUGAUUCAGGUCCUGAGCUACAGACAGUCAGGUCCUGAGCUACAGACAGUUAGAUCCUUGAUUCGGGUCCUGAGCUACAGACAGUUAGAUCCUUGAUUCAUGUCCUGAGCUACAGACAGUUAGAUCCUAGAUUCAGGUCCUGAGCUACAGACAGUCAGGUCCUGAGCUACAGACAGUUAGAUCCUUGAUUCAUGUCCUGAGCUACAGACAGUUAGAUCCUUGAUUCAUGUCCUGAGCUACAGACAGUCAGAUCCUAGAUUCAGGUCCUGAGCUACAGACAGUUAGAUCCUAGAUUCAGGUCCUGAGCUACAGACAGUUAGAUCCUAGAUUCAGGUCCUGAGCUACAGACAGUUAGAUCCUUGAUUCAGGUCCUGAGCUACAGACAGUCAGGUCCUGAGCUACAGACAGGUAGAUCCUUGAUUCAUGUCCUGAGCUACAGACAGUUAGAUCCUUGAUUCAUGUCCUGAGCUACAGACAGUUAGAUCCUUGAUUCAGGUCCUGAGCUACAGACAGUCAGAUCCUUGAUUCAGGUCCUGAGCUACAGACAGUCAGAUCCUUGAUUCAGGUCCUGAGCUACAGACAGUCAGAUCCUUGAUUCAGGUCCUGAGCUACAGACAGUCAGAUCCUUGAUUCAU